CUGCCCUUCUUGUGUUCUGUCUUCGAACAUUCAUUUAUUCGGCACAUCUUGUCUGUGCCCUACCACGUGCCAGGCACUGAAGAUUCAGCAGCUCAGGGCUACACGGGUCUUCCAUUCUGUUGACAUCUCUUUGCCACUACCAAGAUGGAAAAUGUUGUGGUAUCACUUAUUUCCCCUUGCUCAUUAGUUGCCUGAUUAGACAUCAGAACCUCUGAGUUUCAGUCAAAGGGCUGUCUAGACUCGGAGCUUUAAGCCUUUUAAUUGUGAAAAUGACAUCACCAGUAAAGGGCCUGGCCUGGUGCUUGGCACACAGUAGACCGUCCAUAAAUGUCUGUUUUUUUGAGACCUUGGCAAAGAGGAGGAUUGAUGUGGGAGGUGGCGCAGAAGGUUAGAUUUUUGUCAUUUUAGAGAGAUCUGAGCUAGAUCAUUCAUUCAACAAAUAUCACUGUUGCACUAGGCUUUGAGAUAGAAGAGUGUGCAACGCACAGAUUAAGCCUCAAAGGGAUGAGGCAAGGUAUAAGAGAAACAGACUAGCAAACAGGCAAUUGCAACACAGUGUGAUAAGUGCUAGAAGGGGAAGUACAGGAUGUUUCUUAGCCACAAACAAGGGGCAACUAACCCAGGCUGGUGAGUGGGGGUGGGGGAAGCAUCAAGCAAGGCUUCCUGGAGGAAGUAGCAUAUGACCUGAGACUUGACGGAGACCUAGGCAUUAGGAAGGUAAAGUAUGGGGAAGGAGUGGGGAAGGGUGCAUAGUGUCCCAGGCACACGGAACAGUAUCUACAAAAGCUCAAAGGGGCUCAGAGAGGAUUGAAACUGAUAGUCUGGCUGGAGAGUCAUGUACAAGGGGAUGGAAGGCUGAGAGAUGAGGCUGGCAAGGUUCAGUUGUCGGCACUGGAGAAAUCACACCAAGAAGGGUGCAGAGACCCAUUGCAAGUGACUUGGGAAGAGGAAAACUCAGUCAUGGGCAGACACCCAGUUAAAUGGAAAGCAGAGUUAAAGGAGGACAGCGGGAAGAAUGAGAUCUUGAAAAAUCCAUCAGCAAUUUCGGGACGAUAACAUGUGCACAGAUGAUAUUUUUUAAAAACCUGGGAGAAAGGAGUCAGUGGGAGACACAAUUUGAGAGCUACUGUGGCACUCUGGGGACCAAACUAAAGUGUUUGCACCACAUGCUGGGGUAAUUCAAUCACUCAGCAAGCACUGUUUGAGCACCUGUGUUUCUCUGGCCACACUAGUCUCCCUGCUGUUCCUUGUCCUCACCAGGCAUGCUUCCCUACUCUGCCUUUAAUCUGCAGGGGGAUUAUCAUAGCUCAUUGUAACCUUGAACUCCUGGGCUCAAGCGAUUCUCCCAUUUCAGCCUCCCCAAUAGAUGGGACUACAGGCCUGCACCACCAUGCCAGGCUAUUUUUUUUUCUAUUUUGGUAUAGGUGGGGUCUCACUAUGUUGCCCAGGAGGUCACUAUCUCCUGGGCUCAAGCCAUCCUCCCGCCUUGGCCUCCCAAAGUGCUAGUAUUACAAAUGUGAGCCACCACACCCAUCCAGAGUUCCCCUUUUUUUUGAGGGCUUCCCCCUACUCAGUAGCACCAUUGUCUUAGGUCAUUUUCUGUUGCUGUAACAUAUACCACAGAUUGGGUAAUUUAUAAAGAAAUUUAUUUCUUACAGUUCUGGAGGCUGUAAAGUCCACAUCUGGUGAGGGCCUUUUUGCUGGUGGGAACUCUCUGAAGAGUCCCCAGGUGGUGCAGAGCACCACAAGGUGAGGGGACUGAGUGUGUUAGCUCAGUUCUCUCAUCCUCAUCUUAUGAAGCUGCUAGUCCCAUUCCUGUAGCAACCCAUUAGUCCAUCAACCCAUGAAUCCAUGAAUGGAUUUAUCCAUUUAUGAGGGCAGAGCUCUCAUGACCCAAUCACCUCUUAAAGGCCCCAACUCUGAAUAUUGCUACAUUGGGGGUUGAACUUCAACAUAAGUUUUGGAGGGGACAAAUAUCCAAGCCCUAGCAACCAUUUAGCAAAUGCGUAAACAAGCUGCAAUUGUGGUGACAAGAGAAGGCACAUCACCCUGGAAAGGACCCUGUCUCAUUUUUCUUUGUUUUUAUUUUUUAUUUUUAUUAAGAUUAUUUUUUAGAGAUGUGGUCUCUCCAUGUUGCCCAGGCUGGCCUUGAACUCCUAGCCUCAAGUGAUCCUCCUGCCUUAGCCUCCCAAAGUGCUGGGAUUACAGGUGUGAGCCACCAAGUCCAGUUUAUCUCAUUCAUCAUUGUACCCCAGUGCUAGGCACAUAGUAAGCAUUGAGGAAAUGUUGAAUGAAUGAAUAUCAUUUUUAAGCACUGAGGAAACCUAUUUUUAAAAUAGUAAAUGUUAUUAUCACAACUUUGUAAAAAGUGCAUUUUAAAAUGUUUCUAAAAUCCACUAAUAAAUACCAACAGUAAGCCGGACAUGGUAGUGUGUCCGUAAUCCCAACUACUCAGGAAGCUGAGGCGAGGAGGAUCACUUCAGCUUAGGAGUUUAAGGCUGCAGUGAGCUGUGAUUGUGCCACUGCACCCCAGCCUGGCCAACAGAGCAAGACCCCGUCUUUAAAAAAAGUUGUAAAAAGAAAUACCAACAGCAGUUGAAUGGUGGAGUUCUGGGAAAUCUUUCGUUAUUUCCUUUUCUUUUCUCUUCCUUCCUUCCUUCCUUCCUUUCUCUUUCUUUCUUUCCUUUUUUUUUUUUUUUGACAGUGUCUUGCUGUCGCCCAGGCUGGAGUGCAGUAGUGCAAUCUUGGCUCGCUGCAACCUCUGCCUCCUGGGCUCAAGCACACCUCAACCUCCCUAGUAGCUGGGAUUCCAGGCGCAUGCCACCACGCCCAUCUAAUUUUUCUAUUUUUAGUAGAGAUGGGAUUUUGCCAUGUUGGCCAGGCUGGUCUUGAACUCCUGACCUCAAGUGAUCCACCUGCCUCGGCCUCCCAAAGUGCUGGGAUUACAGGCAUGAGCCACUGUACCUGGCCUUUUUCUUUCUUUUCUGUAUUUUUCCCAUUUUGUGUACUAUAGCAACAUUUUUAAUAAUGAAUAAAGUAUAUUUUAGUCCCAUCCACACCUUCCUUCCUCCCAAAAAAGGAAUUGUGAGAAUUACAAUUUACAACCUAAUAUUUUAAAAGUCUUGUGCCAUGUAAAGUGUAAAUGACGAAGACUGAGAAACCAUGACCUGAACUUUAUAAUGCAAUGAAAUAAAGUUUACCACACUCUGACGUGUCUGACAAUAUGCAUGAGGAUUGUGUAGCUGGGCAUGACCAACAAUUCUCAUAAAACACUGUGAUUGGUAUUACUUGAAACAGCCAAACUGGCCUCUGUCAGAUGCUUGGGGAAGGGAGGCGGGAACUGGAUGGGGUGUGUGUGGCUCUGUUGGCCUCAGAAGACCCCUGGAUCCAUAACCCAGGUAUGCCACUUUGCUGGCAGAGAAGGCCAGGACCUGGGAGCUCCGAGGACCUCCGGCUGACAGAUUUGCAGCCUCCAAGUGGGGCUGGUGCUGCACAGGCUUCACAAAGGAGCUUUUUACCACAACAGGAACGGCACGAACACCCCAAACUCUGCUUUCCUUCCCUUCCCAGCCUUCUAGAUAUGGAGAGUUCAUAAGGAUACUGCCUGAAAUGUCAUCAAUAAAAAUGUGUUGGGCAGCAGAACGAUUGCCUUUGAGAGGGCUAGAGGAGAGAAUAUUCAUUCACACAACAAAUGUUUAUUGAGAAUCUACUAUAUGCCAAGCAUAAGGGAGGUCCUGUGCAUACAUGGUGUCAUUUCCUUGCAUCAGCCUGAUGAAGAUGCUAUUAGACCCCACUAUACAGAUAAUGAAACAGGCUGGGAAAUGUUAAGUUAGUGACACUGAGUCACACAUUUAAGUAAGUGGUGGUAGUGGGGAGGGAGGUGGAAAGGGAGGGAGGAGGGACUCAAACACAGCCCCAUCAGAGGUGGAGAGCCUCUCUUCCCACAUUGCGCAUUGCACAACAGCAGAGGUUUCCAGACUUCAUGCUUACAGCCUUUGUGACCAUCAGCAGCUACUCUGGGUCUCGGUCUCCUUGUUUAUAAAAAUAAAGUGCUUGAAUGGCUCACACCUGCAAUCCCAGCACUUUGGGAGGCCAAGGCAGUCGGAUCACUUGAGGUCAGGAGUUUGAAACCAGCCUGGCCAACAUGGUGAAACCCUGUCUCUACUAAAAGUACAAAAAAAAAAAAAAAAAAAAAAGCACUAGCUGGGUGUGGUGUUGGACACCUGUAGUCCCAGCUACUCAGGAGGCUAAGGCAGGAGAACUGUCUGAACCCAGGUGGU
rnacentral:lncRNA from 1 species